rnacentral:lncRNA from 1 species
AUUCAACUCUGGGCUCACCUAAAAGGCGUUCCAUUUGAUCUAAUGUAUGAUGCUGGCCUCAAUCAUAUUACUGGCCAAAUAGGGGAACCAAAGGAAACUGACGACUGGACUCUAAGCCUCUCUAGCAUCAGUGUUGCACAUGUGAAGGUGGAAAUUGAUACUACCGUUCCUCUUCCGACCAAAGUGGAAGUUGGUAGAAUGAAUGGCUCUUUUGUUACCGUUGAUGUCGAAUACCCUUGGGUACCUCCCUCUUGCACUCAUUGUAAGGCUCACCUAAAAGGCGUUCCAUUUGAUCUAAUGUAUGAUGCUGGCCUCAGUCAUAUUACUGGCCAAAUAGGGGAACCAAAGGAAACUGACGACUGGACUCUAAGUCUCUCUAGCAUCAGUGUUGCACAUGUGAAGGUGGAAAUUGAUACUACCGUUCCUCUUCCGACCAAAGUGGAAGUUGGUAGAAUGAAUGGCUCUUUUGUUACCGUUGAUGUCGAAUACCCUUGGGUACCUCCCUCUUGCGCUCAUUGUAAAGAGGUUGGUCACAUCCAGCGCCACUGCCCCCACCUCCCUCCUCCCACUCCCCCAUCCUCCAAACAAAAGCACCCCCCAAAGACCAAAGCCGCAAAACCCACUCUCAAAACACACCCUCUACUUCCCAAAACUCAAAAAUUCCUCCCUCACCAAAUAAAUUCUGUUUUUCCUGUCGUGCUACUGGCCACCUCAUGAACAACUGUCCUAAAGGCCCGCAAAGAUUGGACUUUAGUCAAUCGGAAAAAUACCCCCCCCCUCCCUCCCAUGCCCCUUCACC